GAGUUUGAUCUUGGCUCAGAUUGAACGCUGGCGGCAUGCCUUACACAUGCAAGUCGAACGGCAGCAUGAUCUAGCUUGCUAGAUUGAUGGCGAGUGGCGAACGGGUGAGUAAUACAUCGGAACGUGCCCUGUAGUGGGGGAUAACUAGUCGAAAGAUUAGCUAAUACCGCAUACGACCUGAGGGUGAAAGUGGGGGACCGCAAGGCCUCAUGCUAUAGGAGCGGCCGAUGUCUGAUUAGCUAGUUGGUGGGGUAAAGGCCCGACCAAGGCGACGAUCAGUAGCUGGUCUGAGAGGACGAUCAGCCACACUGGGACUGAGACACGGCCCAGACUCCUACGGGAGGCAGCAGUGGGGAAUUUUGGACAAUGGGCGAAAGCCUGAUCCAGCAAUGCGCGUGUGUGAAGAAGGCCUCGGUGUAAG
rnacentral:rRNA from 1 species